rnacentral:rRNA from 1 species
GUGCAUGGGGGCAUCUACCAUGCAGUCGACGAUGAAGCCCAGCUUGCUGGGUGGAUUAGUGGCGAACGGGUGAGUAACACGUGAGUAACCUGCCCUUAACUCUGGGAUAAGCCUGGGAAACUGGGUCUAAUACCGGAUAGGAGCGCCCACCGCAUGGUGGGUGUUGGAAAGAUUUAUCGGUUUUGGAUGGACUCGCGGCCUAUCAGCUUGUUGGUGAGGUAAUGGCUCACCAAGGCGACGACGGGUAGCCGGCCUGAGAGGGUGACCGGCCACACUGGGACUGAGACACGGCCCAGACUCCUACGGGAGGCAGCAGUGGGGAAUAUUGCACAAUGGGCGCAAGCCUGAUGCAGCGACGCCGCGUGAGGGAUGACGGCCUUCGGGUUGUAAACCUCUUUCAGUAGGGAAGAAGCGAAAGUGACGGUACCUGCAGAAGAAGCACCGGCUAACUACGUGCCAGCAGCCGCGGUAAUACGUAGGGUGCGAGCGUUAUCCGGAAUUAUUGGGCGUAAAGAGCUCGUAGGCGGUUUGUCGCGUCUGUCGUGAAAGUCCGGGGCUUAACCCCGGAUCUGCGGUGGGUACGGGCAGACUAGAGUGCAGUAGGGGAGACUGGAAUUCCUGGUGUAGCGGUGGAAUGCGCAGAUAUCAGGAGGAACACCGAUGGCGAAGGCAGGUCUCUGGGCUGUAACUGACGCUGAGGAGCGAAAGCAUGGGGAGCGAACAGGAUUAGAUACCCUGGUAGUCCAUGCCGUAAACGUUGGGCACUAGGUGUGGGGACCAUUCCACGGUUUCCGCGCCGCAGCUAACGCAUUAAGUGCCCCGCCUGGGGAGUACGGCCGCAAGGCUAAAACUCAAAGGAAUUGACGGGGGCCCGCACAAGCGGCGGAGCAUGCGGAUUAAUUCGAUGCAACGCGAAGAACCUUACCAAAGGCUUGACAUGUUCUCGAUCGCCGUAGAGAUACGGUUUCCCCUUUGGGGCGGGUUCACAGGUGGUGCAUGGGUUGUCGUCAGCUCGUGUCGUGAGAUGUUGGGUUAAGUCCGCACGAGCGCACCCUCGUUCCAUGUUGCAGCA